ensembl:lncRNA
GGGGUAGAGGAGAACCUCGUUCAGGGCAGGUCCUAUUCUUUCUGAGGGGACUGGGGGUAGAGGAGAACCUCGUUCAGGGCAGGUCCUAUUCUUUCUGAGGGGACUGGGGGUAGAGGAGAACCUUAUUCAGGGCAGGUCCUAUUCUGUCUGAGGGGACUGGGGGUAGAGGAGAACCUCGUUCAGGGCAGGUCCUAUUCUUUCUGAGGGGACUGGGGGUAGAGGAGAACCUCGUUCAGGGCAGGUCCUAUUCUUUCUGAGGGGACUGGGGGUAGAGGAGAACCUCGUUCAGGGCAGGUCCUAUUCUUUCUGAGGGGACUGGGGGUAGAGGAGAACCUCGUUCAGGGCAGGUCCUAUUCUGUCUGAGGGGACUGGGGGUAGAGAACCUCAUUCAGGGCAGGUCCUAUUCUGUCUGAGGGGACUGGGGGUAGAGGAGAACCUUGUUCAGGGCAGG